rnacentral:lncRNA from 1 species
UUUUAAUCAUGUUUUUUUUCAUCAUUCAAUUGCAAGGAAAAUGGUCAUAAGUCAUAACAAUCUGAAGUUUUGCAAGAAAGCAAGUAAAAUCCAACCAAACCGUAGAUCAAACUCAUAGACUCCUUAUAUAUCGUUCUCUUUCUUUCCUCUUCGUAUUGAGCUCUAAUUUAUCUAAAUUGAAGUACUCUUUAAACUUCUUUACUAAGGAACCUUUUACAUAUAAAAAGGUGUGUGUAUAUAUAUAAAUAUAAUAAGUUGAAUUUUUUUACAAUAAGUAAAAACACACAAAGGUUAAAUUUGAACAACAGUCUCUUUUAUGUUCUUAUCCCAAAAAAAAGUGAACAAGAGCUUUCACCCUUUCUCUGUUAGUUUGUGUUUGGGUGUUAGUGAAGGUGUAUAUUGUAUGGCGCAGGAGACUGCAUGCACGUGAGUACACUGUUCAAAUGUAGUACAAAAAUUGAAAUGUUUGAAGGAAAAAAAAUCAACUUUGGUUUUAGGGAACCGUGCCCAUAAUCUUUUAACGUUCACGUGUAGUGAAACAACAUAAUAACUUUGUUCUCAUAUGAAAUGGAUUGGAGGAGAUGCUGGGUUUUGUUCUCUUUCUUGUUAGCUAUUUCUAGUUUUCAAAAUUCAAAUACAUUUCCAUGUUCUUUUUAGCAAUGGGUCCAAGGUGACUAAUUUCCAUGUUACUAACAGAAAAUUCUCUUCAUUAAUUGGUCAUGUUUCUCAUAUAGAUUUGCUAGAAAUUAUGUGAUAUAACGAAUUAUCUUGGUAGAAUAUAGACAAGUAUUGAGGUUGCUUGCAUUUAUUAAGUAGGCCCCAUAUUGAAAUUUUUGAGUAUUGACUUUCAUCAUAGUUGCAAACAAUUCUCUCUUUUAUUGAUCAAAGAAAGACCUCAAAUUAGAAGUUUGAUUUAGAAAUUCUUGGUUUGUUUCAAAUUUUGGCAUAAUCCCAUGGGCCCUCUACUUCAAUUGUAGUUUUCUUAAUUUCAACAUACUAUACUAGUUUCAAUUAAUUCCAAUUAAAACAAUUAGGUUACUCAUAUUCAUUACACAAAUAUAUGGGAUUAUAAUAUGAACUUCCAAAGGCGAACAUAACUAUUUUUGGUAAAUUUUAAUACAAUAUUAGAUAUGUUCUCCUUUUUACUAUAUAUGGUAGGGGUCUACAUUAUACCCACCCAAAAAAAUUGACAAUGAUAUAUAUAUGUUGCUUAAUUCUUUGUAAUUAAUUUUGGUGCAGGCGUGACAGUUUCAUCACUCAUAGGGCAUUUUGUGAUGCACUAGCACAAGAGAGUGUAUUAAGACACCAUAACCCUUUUGGGAGUACUCAUCAAUUGUAUGCCACAAACCAUCACAUUAGUUUAGGCCAAAUAUCCCAUCAAUUGCAAAAUCAUCAGAACCAAAUUACAUCAUCCACUAGCAACAAUAACAACCUUUUGCGCCUUGGAUCAGCACCACCAAAAUUUGAACAAAACUUAAUCUCAUCACCACCUUUAAAUCACUCUUCAUCAUUUGGACACUCAAUCCCAUCUUCAUCACCAUUCUUCAAUAUGAGUGAUAUUUCAAAUCAAUCCUUUGAAGAACAACAAUCUCAACAAGGACAAUUCUUAAACAAACAACUACAUGGUCUAAUGCAUCUUCCUGAUCUUCAAGGCAAUACAAAUACAAACAAUUCAAAUUCUUCCAAUCUUUUCAACCUUAUGGUUCAUGAUCAAUUCAACAACAUGAGUAGUACCCAAGGAACAACACUUUACAUUAACAACAAUAGCUCUUUAAGUGAUCAUCAAGUUGGUUUUGUCAAUUCAAUGCAACAUGGUCAAAACAUGUCUAGUCCUCACAUGUCUGCCACUGCAUUGCUUCAAAAAGCUUCUCAGAUUGGUUCAACUAAUUCUACCAACAAUAACAAAGGUAGUAAUAAUGAUCAUAAAUCAGGUGAUAGGGACUUUGUUGUGUCUGAUCACAACAACAUCAAUGCCACUUUUGGAAAUAGAAGUUCAAGUAUUGAAAAUGAUCAUGACAACAACGAUCUUCAUGGAUUGAUAAACUCUAUUGCAAAUGGAAACACAUCAUCCAUAUUUGGCAAUGAAAGCAAUCUUAAUAUGAGAUUUGGUGGAUCUGAUAAGUUAACUUUAGAUUUUCUUGGUGUUGGAGGAAUGGUCAGAAAUAUGAGUGGUGGAUUUUCACAAAGUGAACAACAACGUGACAUGAUGAAUACUAGUAUGGUUUCUUUGAAUCAUGACCUAAAAUCAGCACAUUCAAGUCAACAUUUUGGAAGCUCAAAUAUCUUGCAAUGAAGAUUGGGGUGAGAAAUUUAUUAAUUUAAGGAAAUAUUGCUUGUUAGUUACAUGUGAAUUAUUCAUUAAUUAAGUAGUAAACUUUGUUUCAAACAUUUAUUUAUUUUAUUUUUGUUUUCCUCAAAAGAAGUGCAGUUCAUUGGUAAAAUGAGGUUCCAAUUCUAGAAAUUACUACAAAUUACAAUCCCUUAUUUUAUUUUAACACGUCCCUUUCCUUAUUCUUUGCUCUCUAUGAUGUGAUAGAGAGAUGUAAUAAAUUCACUUUUGAAUUUCAUGUGUGAGCGAACAUGAGAUAAUAAAGUUUAUAGAAAAAAAAAAUUGAUUCAUUAUAGAUUUUCCUCUAAGAAAAUUAUUUCUCAAUCACAGAGGGUAAAAUUCCAUGCUCGAACCAAGAAAAAAUAUUCAACCUAACAAUUUCAGCAUUGUUAGUUGUGCUAGGUUUUACGGACCAGGACAUCAUCGUUGUCUACCAAUUUUUUUUUACAGAUUUGAGGCGAUUUAAUUUGGUUGAUAAACACGAGUAAAUUACUCAAAUGCCCCUUGGCAGUUAACUGCCGAAAUUUUAAAAAAUCGGCUGCAGUUAACUGUCGAGAAAUUUCAAACCUGAAAUUAAAUAAGGAAAUACACCUAUGUUUUCCUUAAUUAAAUUUAAAUCUUUAAUCCUUUUAAGGAAUUAAACAUAAUUAUUUUUAUGAUUUCAUUCAUAUGAUUUUGUUGCUAUAAAUGAAGAAAUAUGAGAGAUGAAUAAUAUCUGUAAUCGGUAGUUAAUAGACCUAAAAUGAUGAUUCAAUAAAAAAAAUGCAACAACAAAAACGUUACAAAUGAUAGAAUAAUUAUAUUUGUAAUUAUUAGUAAUUAAUUUCAUUGAUGUUGUUAUUAUUCAUAAGUUUGACUAACCUAUUAUUACUUUAUACUAAUAUUUUAGAUAUUAUUACUUUAAUUAACAUGAAAAACGCAACAACAAAAAAUAAGGGGGAUUUAUUGGAUUAAGAUUCUAUGGGAUUUUAAAAGAUUUUUUAAUUAUGAAAAAGUCUUGUGGUAUUCAAUCAAAACUUUUUGCAGCCGGUUCUUUAAAAUUUCAACAGUUAACUGUCGAAGGAUAUUUGAGUAAAUUACUCGUAUUUCUCAGUCAAACCAAAAGUGUGAACAGCAAUACUCAAUUUCAAAAACAUGUAUAUGCCACGGUAAAUAAAGCCAGUUGUUGACUUGUUGAUAGUUGUGUUGUUAUUACUUGUGUACAAAUGCUUACCAAACGAGGGUGGGAUGUUGGCACUCUGUUAUGUUAAGAAUCUUCACGUUUUGGCUAUAUUCCAAUGGAAGCGACAGAGCCUCAUUUCCGUUCAAUUUCAUCUUUGUUUUUUUAUAUACGACGUACAAAUACUAACUAACUAAAGGUACAUUAACUUUAAAAUAAAGCAAGAAAUUUUGUAGUAUUGCUUACCUAAUAUAUAUAUACCUUACUUUUAAAAAUACAUAUUAAAAUAUAUGUAAUAAAAAAUUAUAUUAAAUGCUAUAUAAAUGUUAAAUGUUAGAGUCUCACAUUGAAUAUGAGAAUAGUAUAACAAUAUGUUUACAAGUUAUUUAUAAUAGGUUCUUAAUAAUAAUACUAAAUAAAUAUCAAAACUUAUUUAUAUAGAAGUUAUUUUAGUAUUAUUAAGAGCCUAUACUUUUUUUUUGAGCAAAAGAGCCUAUACUUAAUUGAUAAGAAAUUGUUACCAAUAUACCAACUCCAUUAAGUACCAUAAAUUUGAGAAAGAGACCUUGCAUAUUUUUCAGGUGAUUUUGUUGACAUCUUUUUCUCUUAACACUAGGAAGGACCCUUUAGUUUUUCAUUGUAAUAUAAAUAUUCUUGUACAAGUUGACUACCUUUGAAUUUGCAUGUCGUCGUUGAUGGCUAUAUAUAGGGUUAGAUCUAACGUCAUUGUUCAUUUGGUGGAAGAUUUUUAUGAGGAGUGUGUGGUACAUAACAUAUGCAACAUAAAUAACAUAUUAGCAGUAGUCUCUGCAAUGUUCGUUAUUGUAAUUACUGGUAAAAUAGCUGCGACACUUUUGUCGCAUGUAAAUUCCUUCUUCACAUGGAAAUCACCCGUCCGUGAGUGAGUGAAUGAAUGAGUGACUAUUAACCAACCAACCCAGUCAUUUCAUUUCGCCUUCACUCUCUACCCGUUACAGUUUUUCUAACUUUCUUUCUUUAGAUUGAGUAACUUCAAUAAUGCAAUGCAACUAAAGAUUAUUACUUACAACUUCUAUGCUCAAAUAAUUGUUGCAAUGCAAUUAAACACUCACUCAUGCGUGUCCCCGUGAGCCUAAUCCAGUUUGUAGAGACAUUGCAUUAUAUAUAUAGAGGUUGGGGUUCAAACUCAAACACUCUACUUAUUCACCUUAAAAAAAAUGAAUUUAAGUCAAUUGGCUACCUGACUAAAAAAAAACGCACUCAUAUGUUUUAUUUCAUAAGCUGGUUUUAGACCUUUUUAUCUGAAAAACUUAUCUCACAUUGUAGUUGAUAUGUAUGGUUAGACCUUUUGUGAGGUUUGUGUGUCCCCUAGUCUAUCACUCUCUCACAGUUAAACUACUUUGUUUUUGAGAGGUUUGUAUACCUUACUUAAAAACAACUAUCAUUCUCUCAUCAAUUUCAUCAUUAAGCUAUUAAAAUUAACUAAAAAGUACCUAAACUAUUCUCACAUAUAACUAUUAGCCCCUUGGUUGACAAAGUUAAUUUUUUUUAUGAUGGUUUAUGGACUAAAUUGAUAUAUUUUUUAUAGUUUAAAGAUCUUCUAGUUGAUUUUAAUAACUCGAAGGCUAUAUAUGUGAAAAAAUUGAUAGUUUAAGGAACAAGUUGAUUGUUUAUUCUUAAUUUGAUUGAAGUCUACUGGCACACAAAUUUACAAGGAUACGGUGGAUAUGGGGAAGUUAUACCUGAUAUCCCUACAUUUAAUCUUUUACCCCCUACAAAUUGUUGAAAAUGCCAAAUUUACCUUUUAUCAUUUCACUUCACCCUGCAUAAAAUUUUAGCCAACAAUACACUUCCGAGAUUUAAUACUCCAAUUUUCGGAAUAUUCAUAUCAAAUUUUUAUGGUAGAUUAAUUUGUAAACCGGAACAAUUGAGUAAAGAAUUAUUAUCAGAAUUCUUUCUUCUUUCAUCGAGGUUUGAGAGACAAUGAAAGAUGGAAAAUAGAAUACAACAACCUGUAUUAGUUAAUAUAAAAUUAAGUGCAAAGCAAAGAUCAUGAUACCAAACCUCAUCAAUUCUUCUUCCAAUUCAUUUUAUUUAGAUCUAAAAAAAUGAAAGGCCGUAUAUUUCUGGAGUAGAAUUUUAGAUGUAAGGUUGGGAAAUCAAAAAACCUGGCUAAAACUGCAGAAACCUGUUUUCUGAAUUCUUUCUAAAAAAACAGUGUAAAAAAAUGCUUGUCUCUUUAUCUGUAGAUCUAAAAAAAAAUCAUUUCUAAUUCAUCUUGUUUGGAAAUAUGAAUACGAAAAGUUGUAUAUUUUAAUUUUUUUUAUUUUUACAAAAUACCGUUGUUGGGAAUGUGAAUAAUCUAAGAUUAAAUGUAGGGGUGGUAAAAGAUUAAAUGUAGGGGUAUAUGGUAUAAUAUCCUGGAUAUGGUAGGCUUAUAUUACUUAGAACCCAAAUCAUGUUACUUAGGCCCGUCAUCAUGGACUUUUUUCAUGUGGUUUCCAUGCAGGCUAGUUGAAUAUUGCUCUUUAGGCAUCCAUGUUUUGCUCUCAGACAUUUUGAAAUUAUUAUUUUACCUCAAUGAAAAUUAAUUACCAUUUGUUGAUGAACGAUGGUUAGUUUUCAUUCUCUUAUGAACAGUAGUUAAUUGUCGUUCUAGGGCAUUUUAUGUGGUUCAGAUUGCGCAGACAGUUUUUGUGGUCCACGAUACAUAAAAACUUCUAUAAAUUGGUGUGUUUGGUUCAUUUGAAACCACACCACAAAAUCAUGAAUAUUUAUCUAGUAGAUCCGAACACCAAAUUAGCGCAGUUAACUACAACGGGGAAAACUCAAUAUGUUUAGGGUUCAGGUUAAUGCUAUAUCGGUUGACUUGAAGGAACAUAGUUGGACCAAAUUAACAGUCGACUCAACCACAAAGACACAAGAAAGGUGGAAAGUGUUGAGUAUCGUCAUCCAUUCGUUUGACUCAUAUGAAAGCGUCAAGUUCACCCAUAUGAAGUUCAAGAACAACGACAUCGUGAGAACCAUCAAGUUAGACGCUUCAUUGGUCAAAUAUUUUUUAGAUGUUCCGGAAAGUUUGAUUCAGAUUAGGACCUUCAAAGAAAACAGGACUUGCAUGGAUAGACCAAAAGAAAUAAGUAUGUCUUAUUCGUGAUUUUGUAUGUGUUUUAUUAUGUUGUUAAAUUAUGUUAGUGUAUUGUGUUUUAUUAUGUUUAAUGUAUGUUUUUGUUAACUUAUGUCAUUGAAAUUAUGUUAAUGUAUUGUAUUUUAUUAUGUUUAAUGUAUGUUCUUCUGAGCUUUCCUUUGUAACUAAUGAUUAACUACAGUUUCUUCUGAAAACAACAAUUAACUAUUGUUCCUAGAAUGGGAGUUAACUCUUGUUUAACAACGAAAAAUAAUUAAUUAUUAUUUCGGAUAAAAUAGUCAAUUUGAGACGUGUUAAAACAAAGUAUGAGUGUCUAACGAACAAUUUUCAAGAUAGUUUAGUCCUUUUUGGGUUCUACCUUUUUUUUUUAUGAGUAACUUCUACACCUAGUUUCCAUUCUUUUUUGUGUUAAUUGUCCGAUUUCUUAGCAUGUGCGUAACUCACGCAGCGUGACUUAAGUCACACAUGUGUAAAAACUAAGUCAUGUAUUUUUUACACUUGCGCUAAUUAACUAACGCAAGGGUAUUUUCGGCAACACUGCAGGGCGCGAGUGUUUUGUGUUGGGUGAAGAGCAGAAUUCUAAAGUCAUAUAUAUAUAUUAUGGUUUUAAAAGGGUAAUUGCUAAAUCAGAUUCAUAGGAAGCAACUAAGUUAAUAUUGAAAGGGCAUGGUAAAGGGCACCCUUGUUCUCAUAUCAUUUCUCAUAUUUCUAAUUUUCUUGUCUAAUUCAUGAGUUACAAGUUUCAACGUGUCUAACGUGAAGCCAACAAAGUCGUGAAUGCUUUUGCAAGGAAUAUCCAACUUCAAAGUAUUAGCGCAGCUUUAACUUGAUGAACAAACUUAGAGUUUUCUAGGGUUUUAAUUUGAUUUUGUUGAAAUAGAGAGAGAAUGAGAAGAAUGGGUGAAUGAGGAGACAAGAAGUAUUAAAGUUGUGAUUUCAUUUAUAUGUAAAAAUACACAUGAAAGUAGCUUAUAUACAUGGUUUUUUGCUAGGUUACUUGAAGUACAAGUCAUAUAACAAACCCUAAAUACCUUAAGCUAAAAUCUAGUAAAUUUGUAACAAACUAUUAACAAACUAAACUAACUAGAUUUCUAAUGUGAUUAACCAAACAAGCUUGAUUAGAUCACUAACAAACUUGAAUUAUCAACUAACACAAAGUUGCGAUAAUAUAAAAAUAAUAUCAGAACUAGUCUCUCUUCAAAUGAAUGAUGCAUCACAACUUAUCUUUCUCCUUUGAUGGAAAAAUUUGUUCUAAUACCAAUUAUUGAAGGAAAAAAAUCAAUAAAAAAUCUUUAAACAAGCGGGAACACAACCACAAAAUAAGUAAAAGAGAUAAAAACAAAUCACAAGCCUAUUUUUCGAUACUUCACAGUUCACACCUUCAUUCAUAAUAUCUUAACAAAAUAUUUGUUACAAAAAUAUGCAUAGUUUUACUAGGAAUUGCAAACCCUCUUGUACAAUUAUAAUUUUUGCACAGAAAUAUUGCAAACUAAUCUUUCUCAAUUACAAUUUUUGUAAGAAAAACUACAAACUCUUUCAUGACACACAACUACCCAACCUCUUUUUUUUUUUUUUUUUUUUUCAUUACUCGAUGUGCGAUGUGAAAGAAUAUCAAUUUUAGAGAACAAAUGGCUAUAAUUUAUAGGUGGCCUUUAUGAUUUUUGGCACAAAUUUUCAUACUGUGAAAUGUGAAUAGAUGCAUGUGCAGAGAUGGAGUUCAUAAUUUAAAUCUUACGUUAAAAAUAAAACAAGUUUUUAAUGUUAUAGUUUAAAAAUAAAAAAUUGUUUCUUAUAUACAAUAUUUUUAUGAAUAUUUACAUAGUUCUUAAAAAAAUUAAUAAUGAAUGGUAUAUUCGUGUCCUGUAUGACACAAUGAAACAUAUGCACAUGAUUAAAUUAUACAUUAAGCCUAAUCAUAUGAUCUGAAAAGAUUUUCUCUACAUUUCGUCGAGCUAGCAAGGUAGAUAGAUGUCAACUAAUAAGUUGAUGAAAUCGGCUAAAAAAGAUUCCCAGUUGAAGUUUAUUAUUUUUUUGGUGCAACCCAGUUGAAGAUUUUAUUAACUUUGAUGAUGGCUCUGAACUACCAAGUUUUCUAGAACUUGAACAAGUCCUUAAUUUUAGUUGAAUUGCAAUACUAUGUCUAUAUGUAUAGUAUACCGUUUCUGGUUUCAUAGUCUGUUAAUUUUAAGGAAUUUUUUCAAGUGGCUCAAAAAAAACAUAUACAGUACAUUCUUUAGUUUUAUUUACAUCGUUUUCAAUCUCUUUCGCUUUUUUAAAUAUUUACGCAGAAAACAUUUUUUUUUUUUUUUCAAUCAGAAAGAGGCAAAAUUAAGAUUUGCAUUGGUUUUAGUCAUCACCUACUACAUUAAAUUACUAUUUGUGGAAAAUAUUGUUUAUAGCGUGAAACUGUGCUCUGACUGGCUCACAUGCAAACGGACAGUGGCAAUAUUGUUUAAGGAAGUAUUAAUCUUUUUUUUUUUUUUUUUUUUGACAGAAACCAUAUAGUAUUAAUCUAUUAUUACUACUAUAUAUGCAUAAAAAAGGACCAAUUAACCGACAUGCUUUGAGUUAUUUUGUGUUUUUUUUUUUUAUUGUUUCUGAAAAAAUCAACCAACAUGCUUCUUUUUUUGCGCUAACUAAAACUAAUUUAUUUAUGCUACUAAUCAAUUUAUUAAGACUAAAACUUGAGUACAAGUUAGUCUUUUUUUUUGUAGUUGGUGACCUACAAGUGGUACUCUUGUACUCAUUAUACUCAAAGUCAAGGGUACAUGCGUAUGUGUUAUGCUGAAUUCGAAAAUUCAUAGUCAAGACCCAGCAAUAUCAAGAUAUAUACACACAUGUCCUAAAGUGCAUUCUGGAGAAUAAGAACUACAAGUCUAAAGUUUUUCUUUUUGUUAGUAAAGUUAUUUUAGUCCAAGUUUAGACUAUACAACGCUGACUAUGAAAUAUGAAAGGAAAAAAAAACCUUCAAUUUUUGUCAAAAAAAUAAAUUCCAUUGUCUCUAACUAAUUAUUGAAAUUUUAAACAUGUGUUUGGUCUAACGGUAUGGUAGAAAAAAUCACGGCAAAAAUUCACGGUAACUACAAAAUCUAAAAAUUUGUAAUUUCUUUGAAAUUUGAGUUUGUAACUUCGAACGUCAAAUAAUCGUUCAUUAAGUCUCUAAAGCUCACAUGAUCAGACCAGCUUUGAUUGCAAAAUAUGACCAACUAAUUACUAAUAAACAUUUAAUUUUGUUAGCAGAUCAAUUUAUCUGUUUAAUGUUAAAAUAAAUCUGAUCCAAUUCAAUACUUUUGGACAUAGAUUGAAAUGGUUUCCCCCCCCCCCCCCCCCCCUUUUUUUUUUUUUUUUUUGUAAACUAGGUAUCCUCCGCGCGCAACUGCGGAGACUAAUCCCUCGAGCAUUGUGAGACCCAAAUGGACGGCAGACUCUCCCUAAGAGUUUUAACGCUGCUGGAGGUAUUGUAAAUAAUAUUUUGUGUUAUAUUAUUUUUAAGAGUGUAUAUUUCUAUAUAAAAAGAGUGAGUUUUGCCUUCAACCUCGAGGUAAUCGGUUUGAGACCUAGGCACUGAGAACAUGAGUUUUUUCGAUUAGCUCUUUAAAAAAUUAUUUAUAGGAGGAAUAAUUGUUUUUAUGGAAUUUGUCGUGUAAUAAAAAUCUAAAUCGUCUAGUCUACAAUUUUGUAUAGUCUUCAAUUAUGUUGUGAAUUCGGGCUUUGAAACUUCACACCAAUCCAAACUAUGAUGUGUGGAGAAAGUAUCAAUGGCAACCAACAACCAAAUUAACCAUAAGCAAUAACAAUAAUAUAUACCAAGUCUAUAAACCAAGUGCAUAGCAAAAUCACAAUCCAACCAAAUAAUAAACAAGAUAAAAGAGUAAAGAAAAAUAGACAACAACACCAAGAGAUUGUUCACCCAGUUCGGUCCAACCAUGACCUACUCUGGAGGAGAGAUUGAUCUCUUCAAUCCACUAUCAAUGAGUUCUUACAAAGAGAUACAAAUGAGUUACAAGAAAUUAGCUUCAACAAGCUCACAAAAAACAACCCUAAUUUCUACCAAUUUUCCCAAUCUCACCAAUGAACAAGACACUCAUGAUUUUUACUCUCCCAAGGUGUUUACAAUUGUUUCACAACUCUAGAAUCUAACCCCCAAAAGAGAACCAACUCUUAGCCUUUGAUUUCACUUAGGAUCUUCUCUUUUGGUUUCACAAGACUCACCCAAGUUGCUCGCAAAUGACUCUCCACUCAUGUGUUUCCCAACCCCAUGAAUCUUCUCCAAAAGGCACCAACCCUUUUCACAAGAGCCCCCUCUUUUGGUUCUCCAAGAUUCACAUCUUGAAGCUUUGAACCUCACCCAAAGACCCUCAACCUUUAGUAUCUAAAACCCUAAAAGUUUCAUCCUUUGGUUGUUAUGGGAUUCACCAAGCUUACCCAACAAAUGGAUCAGGGAGUGUUUAAAACAUGUUUCAGAUCUGUCAAAAUCGUGUCACAUUUUGCCUUCAGAACCAAACAUGCAUUCGGCAUCAGAAAUCGUGACACGGUUGCCAAAUCGUGUCAUGAUUCUUCACUUUCAUAAAGACUUAAUUUUGAGUCAUAUAUAUACCAACAAAUUCAAAUUAUAUAAAUGGACGGUAUAUUCUUUAGUAAAAGUAUUAUUUCACAAUUUAAUACGUAUUAUUAAAAGAAAUUAGAAACAAUUAUCAAAAAAUUAUGAUAGAUAAUAUAUUAAACUCGUCUAGUGUGUGUGUAUUUUUGAAGGAUAGUGUGUGUGUGUAUUAACAUCAUUCUCUAAUUAUUUUUGUAGGGAAACAAUGUUGGUUAAAUUGAUGUGUACUUUUUUUUGUAAAAAAUAAUCGACGUAUUUUUAAAUGAGAUUUACAUGUAGAGAGAGACAGCGGUAGACAUAGUAGUAGAACAAUUAAAAUUUAAAAGACCACUUUACAAAUUGCACCAAGUGGUCCUCUAAAAAAGAUCACCGACAGUUGCUUCACUUUACCUUCAUAUAUUUUAGAGCAAUGAUAUUUGAACAAUUAUUUAGUACAACAUUUUUUGACAAUCUUCUUUUUCUCUCUUUUUAUUGGUCAAAAAUAAUGAAGAGAAAAAAGAAGAGAUAGAGUAAAAAUAUAAUAUGAAUAUGAGAAAAAAAAUUGUCUAAAAAUUAUCACAAAAUGGUUGUACAAAUAUUAUUUCUCCAUAUUUUAGACACAGGCUAAUCAUUAAUUAAUUUGUGUAAAAAAAAACAAUAAUAUUAUUUUGACAACAUUAUUCAACACCUUAUCUUUCUUUCAAAAAACAUUAUUCAACACCUUAUGUUCAUAUUAUCAUUUGAUUUUCUUAAUUAUGUUUUACAUCAGUCACAUCAAGUGACAUUUUACACGCUUAUCAAUUUUUUUUGUCAAGUAGCCUAGUGUUUAGAACUCAUAUAAUUUAAUUGUGAAGAAAUGAAGUGUCAGAGAUUCGAACUCCAACCCCUGCAUAUAAUAUGCAAUAUCCCUACCAACUGAACUAAGCUCACGAAGAUCGCGGUUAUCAAUUUUUGUAGUUCAAAUAACAUCACUAAAAAAAGCUACGAGGCAGACGCACAAAUUUUCAUUGAGCAGUUGUGUUAAUUAAUUUUAUAACGCAAGGAAAAUGGUGAAGUUUUUGUGAAUAGAGAAAUGAUAUAUAUACAAUCAUUUUCAAACAACUUUUGUAAUAACUUUAUCUCUCAUUUUUAUAUUUUAUUUUUAUUUUUUUCUCUAUUAUUUUGGUUUUCGUUUAUGAUUUUUUGUAAGAAAAUGAUUGUCUAUGUAGUUAUCAAUCACAUUGAUGUUCAAAUAACAUUGCUUUUGUGAAUAAUGCAAAAUAGUUUCUCGGAACAAUCAAUUAUUCAAUUGAUAUUUACGAAAUUAGUUUUUGUAGGGUGUCCCUAUAAAUCACAUAUACUUUAAAACAGUCAUAUGUAUUCACGAUUCGAGAUCUUAUAAAAAAACCAUUCCAGAUCAUGUAUGAAAAUGAAAUAUAUAUUUUUUUUGACUGGUGUAUGAAAAUGAAAUAUUUUCAAAAAUAAAAUAUACUCUCUGCCCAUAUAAUGUCAGCGUAGGUGUCGGUGUUUUUCUACCGACUAUAAGAAAAACUGUAAAAUAAAUAAAACAAUAUAGUAAUUUAAAUUAGUGAUUGUAAAUUAUUGUCUUAAAUGUAUAGUUCAAUAUAAUAGAUUAAAAAUGAUGAAAAAAAUAUUAAUUUAAGAGUAGAAUUGAAAUAACAUAUAUGUUUUCGAUAGUUUAACUAAAUUGAUAAAGACAUUGCAUAAUAAUAUACAAGUGUUUUGAAAUUCCAUUUAUUCAUUACAUGUGAAUUUUUAGAUAUUAAACUAUUUGGAAAAUAAAAUAAAAUAUCAAAUAAUUAAGGUUUAAAUAUGUAAGUAGUCCCUGUAAUUUCGCGUAUUUUUGUUUUCGUUCCUGUAAGUUAUUUUGUUCUAAAACAAACUCUGUAUUUUGCUAACCUUUUGGAAAAGGUCCUUGCCGUCAGCUUCCGUCAACAAAAACGCCAUGGUGGCUAACGGAGCACACGUGGCAGUUCAUGAGUUGGCAAAGUUGAUGAGAUGGAAUGAGAGAUGAUAAGUUGUUAAAAUACAGGGACUAAAAUCAAAAACGUAAAUUGACACAGGGAUGAAAUUAAAAAAACGUUUAAUCUUCUUUUUCCUCUCAAAUUUCAGUCUUCUUCUUCCUCUCAAACUUUCCCCAAUCUAUCCCAUACCUUGCGCCCUUGAACCAAAACUCAUAUCCUUCAACAAUUUAUUCUAAUUCCAUUACUCAAUCAUAUUGUGUGUUUUGAUUGUAAUGUUAAGUUGAAACAUUGUAUGCUACUUAAGUUUGAUUAAUUUAGUGAUGGUUGUUGCGAUUGAUUGCAAAUUCAUUCAUAAAGUUUGUAGAUAAUAAAGGCAAGAAUACAUCUUUUUCAUCCCUCUUUUUUUUCCACAAUUCCCUCUUAUUCUUCCAGAUUGCUACAAUUACCAUACAUAAAUAGUCAGAUCCCCUUUCAUCUUUUCUCACUCACAUUCAAAUUCAAACUCUAAUUUCUCAAAUUUUUGCUUUUGAAUUGUGUAAUUUUGUGUUUUUAUGUAAUUGGUGUAGAGAGUUUAUGUUGUUUUAAUGUGUUGAUUAAGAGUGGGUCUUGUUGUUGUUGAUUGAUGAUUAUUAGUUUUGUUUAAAAAAAUAUAUAUGUUUGUUGUUUUCUUUCUUUUCCUGGGUUUGGUGUUGAUGAUUUAUGAAUAUGGUGAUGAAGAUGAAGAAGACAAUGAAGGAAGAAGAAGAAUAAGAUCUUGAUUUUAAAUUUGAAAUUUUGAUUUUACGUUUUUUAUUUUAGUCCCUGUGGUAAUUUACGCUUUUGAUUUUAGUCCCUGACUUUACACAACUAAUCAUCUCUCAUGCCAUCUCAUCAAAUGUGCCAAGUCAUGACCUGCCACCUGUGCUCCGUUAGCCACAAUGGCGUUUUUGUUGACAGAAGCUGAUGGUAAGGACCAUUUUCAAAAGGUCAAAAAGAUACAAGGUUUAUUUUAUAUAAAAAAAAAAACUUACAAGGACGAAAACAAAAAAUACGCGAACUUAGAGGAACCUUUUACAUAUUUAAGCCAAUAACUAAUAGCACUUAUUUUGGUACAUUUCUCUUUUGCAAAUGUGAAACUUAAUAUUGGAUGGGGUCAAUAAUUUUGAGAAUGAAUAAACCCAUUAUUUAGUCUUUUAAUUUUUUUUUUCCAUCCAUCAGGUUUCUAAACUAUUUACAAACACUAAAUGUCCUUAAGACAUAGCUCAAGUAACAAUAUUGAUAUUGAGAAGUUGGAUAUUUUCAUCCGAGUUUGAACUCGAAUUCUUGCAAUUACGAGUGUGAAUUUCAGGUAAUUUAUAUCAAUUUAUCUGUAAACAAAAGGAGAUAUAUACGCGUAACAAAUAGGUCUAAUGCAAAUUAACAACUUAUUUUUAGUUUAUAAAAUAUAUGAAAUUUAAUCCUUUAGUCCCUAGUAUAUUUUAACAAUGGGCACUAAAGCAACAUAUAUUUCAUAUAUUUUAAAUACUACUACAUCUUUCCUUAUGUAUAAGCUCAUUUGACAUUUUCACAUAUAUUAAAAAAGUUAGUAGUGUCUUGACAAAAAAGAAGCUCCUUAGAGUUUCCUUAUGUAUAUUUUUUUAAACCGAAAAAAUUGUGUACAAAAAAUGACUAUUAUUACUAAAAAAAAUCUUUUGCAUAUAGAUGUGUUCAACAUUUAUUUUGCAAUUCUCAAGACAAAUCAGUGGUACAUCUUAAUAAGUGAUAUAUUUGUUAGGAAAAAAAAUUACUAUAUGUAUCUAGUUAUUUGCAAGACUAAUGAUUCUUAGCAAAUAUGCUUAUAUUGAGAGAACUUUUUUCUAAAGAGAGCUUAUAAUUAGAGACUAAGAUUUUGCCAAAAAAUAAAGAAAAAUUAGAGAAUAAGGUUUAUACUAUACUUUAGAAACUAAUUUGAUGAGAUACGACUAAAUCGAAGAUAUAUUUUUUUAGAAUAGUGUUAGAACCUUAGAAAUUAUAAUCAAUAGAAAUAGAAAUGUUCCUUACAGAUCCAUAAUAGUGACAAUCUUGUCUUUUCUUUUGAGGAAAUAAUAAUAAAGGUGGUGCCAACAUUUCAACAAACCUAGCUAUUUUAAUUAUUCUGUUCUCACAGCCUGCACCUUAGAUCAAAUCCAAAUUGGGUCAUCACCGUUCCAAAAUGCUUAGGGACGUUACUCUAAAUGUCAAUAUGAAUGAGUAAUUCAAAUAGUUAACAUAGCCCGCCAGCCUUAUAUAAUAAUAUCAAUAUAUGUCGACUAAUUAUCGAGAUGCUAAAUUGGAGUACACUUCACAAACAAAAAUCUUUCAUAAGGCGUUUUUUCUCUUAAUACAUUUUUUCUUUUCUUAUGCUAGUAACAUUUACUCUGUAUUGGCCUUCCUAAGAAGAAGUUGGAUAGUAGCAAUGUGUUCGUGAGACUGCUGAUAUCUUAAAAGAAUGUUCUCAUAGAUUCCACUUUUUUAGUAAGCUUUUAUGUGUAUGAGUUUGCAAAUUUAACCCUUUUUAAUUCGGAUAGAUUUAUAAGUCACACCUUCAAGUACAAUCGACAAAAUUUCAGUAAUAAUUACGGUUUAGGGUUUAUGGGUCUAGAUCUACUAAAAAUGAGUGGGUGUAUAAAUUAGUAUAUCCUAGAGUUUAUUAUCUUACGUUCGAUCUUCUUUGCAGAAACUCGUGCAUGUUCGUGAUAUAUAUUUUCGCGAGAAGUACAUUUCCCUAAAACAAAAUCAACCACUGACAUAAACACGUCAAAUGUAAGCCGGUAAAUCCAAGCUUUACUAACACGAGUUAUAUUAUAUCAUUGGCAUCAGCUACUUAAGAACUACUGUAGAAAAUUUACAGCAAGUCAUCGAGGCUUAAUAAAAUGUGUUGAUAUAGUUACAAAGAUAAAUUAAAUAGCAGAGCAUACAUGAAGAGAACAAAUGUAGAGCAACCCCUUAAACAAACCCUCUCAGUAAGGUAUCUUCACAUUACUCUAAGUUCAUAAAAGAUGACUUUAAAAACGAUUAUUUCAAAAUGCAAGUAUUCUCCGACCCCUUUUUCCCGGAUCUAGAUCUAAUAGUGUAAGGAUAUAUAUAAAUCAUUGUCACAUUUUACAACUCAAGAGUUUACCUCAACUCGUUUUGUUUAGGUAAAUUCGACUCGAGAACUCGUAUGACUUUACCUAAAAUUAAAAUUAUAUAAAAUUUAUUAUAUAUGCAUGACAUAUGUAAGUUAAUAUAAUAUUGUAAAUAGGUCAAUAGUGCAAAAUAUGACUUAAUUACAAAGACAAAUUAUACCAUAAUAAAAUGUUAUGCUCAACUUAGCUUCAAAAUACAAAAAUUAACGCACAAAAUCAUAAGUCUCUAAGUUUAAGCCAUCCAUAAAACCAUCCAAAAAAAGAAAGUUUCACAAGUUCCUAAAGUUAUUAAUAAAACUAUCUAAAAAAUAAAGUAGUUAAUUUCUUCAAAACGUCAACAAACACCACCACAACAACCCUAACCAGUGUCACAAUCACCGGCGUUGAAAUAUGAAUUUCCACCGUCUGAAUCACAACCCUAAAUGGUAUGUGCUCCCCUGUUCAUGGUUUGAGAACUUAGAAAAGAAAAAGGGCAAUCCGGUGCACUAAAGCUCCCACAUACGCAGGGUCCGGGAAGGGGUCCCACCAUUUUUUGUGUAUUGUACGCAACCUUACCCUGUUUUUGAUCACAAAAGAAAAAGAAACGUUUCAUUUUAGGAACAACUUGUCACUGUAAAGGUAACUAUUAAUUAAACGUUUCAGUCUUUGGGGUUGUAGAAAAGGAAUUGGAUUUUGAAAAAAAUGGGCACAUAAAAAGGGCCAAUUUUUAGAUGUAAACUCGUAAAACUCAGUAAACUCGGUCGAGUUUACACGAGUUUACCUAGUGUUAACUCGGUCAAACUCGUUAAACCUUCCAAUUUUACCAGAAACCGAGUUUACCUCCGAAUUAACAUGAUUUUGGCACCUACGUAAACUCGAAGAGUUAACACUCAAUUUGCGGAACAUUGCAUAUAUAUUUAAAGAUAUAUGUAUAAUUAUAGAGAAAGUAGAGAAGGGAUAUACCAUUUUAUGUAGGGUUAUUAUGUAUCAAAUCAUAAAGAGUCGAGAGUUGUAUUAUACCAUAAUAUUCUUCCGUAAACUGGUAGUCAUGAUCAUGACGUAUAUUAUUCAAGUAUAUGCAAAAACAUGUCUGUAUCUAGUCUAAAUUUUUGACCAAAUGCAUGUAUUUGCUUAUAUUUUGUUACUACUUACUACUCGCCAAGUAAUGCUCAAUAUCUAAUAUAUAUAUUUCAAGACCAUCAAAGAUAACUCAGUUGAACAAUACAUAAUAUAUGCAAGGUUCGGGGUAUAUUACAUUUUCAAUUAUUCUAAUAAUAAAUUUAAAUGACACUUAAAUUAUACAACUAUUAAAUAGAUCUUAGUACCGUAAAAUUUAUAUUCGAGACUUGCUAGGGAGAACCAUCAACCUCAACAAAAAUUUCUACUUGAAUCUAACGCAAACAAAAGGUCCAACCAUCUAUGAAUCUCCGUUGAUAUCACAAAUGAUGUUUGAUACAAGAGAGACAUAUUAGAACAUAAUCUAUGUACAAUCUACAUUAAAAUAAAAAACAAGUCUACAGUCAUAUAAAUAACACAAUUUCAAAAUCUCAAAAUUAGGUAUGAAAACAAAAUGAUUAGAAAAAUAAAUGAUUCAAUCAUUCCGAGAUUUGUGCAAAAAAAAAAAAAAAAACAUUUUGAAAAUACAAUGUUAGAAACUUAUGAUCAAUAUAUAUUUUUCCUUACACAUCAAAAAUAAUUAAGCUAUAUUCUUGUCUUUUCAUUUUGGGCAAACUAAAAUUAAAAUCAAGGUAGUGUCAAUGUUUCUAUAGUCCUAGCUAUUUGAUUUUCUUCUAAGCUAACAAGAGUCUUCCAAAAUCAAAUUCGCGCUCAAAAUUAAAGCAACUUGGGUGGUAACCAUUCCAAAAUACUUAGGGCCACAUUGCUCUAAAAGUCAAUAAGAAUAAGUAAUAAUUCAAAGAUAGCCAACCUUAUAGUAUAUUUUAAUAUGAAUGUAUGCAUGUUUCCUAGAAGGUGAGUAAGCUAACUAAUCAAGAUACUUUGUUGGAGUUAAAUAUGGUAAAGAAUCCAACUAUAAAAUGGGGACUUGCCCCAGCAUUCUUUCACAAACCAAAACCAACUUCUAAGAAAAAAAUGAGGUCCCUAAUGGCCUCUGCUUCUCUCACUCUUGCAUUAGCCAUCCUCUUUUUGAGUUUCCCAUCUGAAAUUUCAGCAAACAAAUACGCAUAUUCCUCUCCACCACCACCACAUUACUCAUCUCCUCCACCUCCACCGGUUCACACUUACCCUAAACCAGUCUACCACUCUCCACCACCACCAGUUCACACCUACCCUAAACCAGUUUACCACUCUCCACCACCACCAGUUCACAAGUACCCUCACCCUAAACCAGUAUACCACUCUCCACCACCCCCAGUUCACAAGUACCCUCAUCCACACCCAGUCUACCAUUCUCCACCACCCCCAGUUCACAAGUACCCCCAUCCUCACCCAGUGUACCACUCUCCCCCACCACCACCACCAAAGAAGUCCUACAAAUACCCAUCUCCCCCACCACCACCAGUUCACACCUACCCUAAACCAGUCUACCACUCUCCUCCACCCCCAGUUCAUCACACCUACCCUAAACCAGUCUACCACUCUCCUCCACCCCCAGUUCACACCUACCCUCACCCUAAACCAGUCUACCACUCUCCACCACCCCCAGUUCACACUUACCCUAAACCAGUCUACCACUCCCCACCACCACCAGUUCACACCUACGUCCCUCACCCUAAGCCAGUCUACCACUCUCCACCACCACCAGUUCACACCUAUCCCCCACAUGUUCCCCACCCAGUUUACCAUUCUCCUCCUCCUCCAGUUCAUUCCCCACCUCCACCACACUAUUACUACAAAUCACCUCCUCCACCUUACCACAACUAGAUAGCCCAUAAUUGGCAUCACACCAUAUGGUAACUUUUCAUGCAACAUAUAUAUUAUAACUUUUCAUAUUCUCUCUUUAUUAACUAGUUAUCGGUAUGAUUGUCGAGUAUAUACUAACAAGGCUAAUUUGAAAUGAAACUUCAUGUGCAAUGAAACAUUCUUUUACUGGUUAAUAUUUUAUUCUAUGUUUCAUUGAAAUUAAUAUUUUUCUAAUAGUAUUUGGUUAUUAAGGGAUUAGAGUAUAUCAGACAUAAACUGACAGAUCAAUAUAUUUGCAUUUGUGUAGGAUCUAAAC